AUAAUAUUAAACACGGCUGCUUUUGUCGCAGCGUCGCGACGAGAAAAAGACUGACCUAAGACGGCCGUCCUGACCACCUCACACUAACCGAUCGAGGUGGAGCGAGCGCGACUCAACUCCAGCAAGACUCUCAUGAUUUUAUUAAAAUACAGCCGUUAUAAUAUUUACAGCUGCAGACUUACCAGACCAAAUGAGAACUCCAAAAUGGACAAUGCAGAUAAGGAGAAGACCAGCCACAACAACAAUGAUGACCAGGACUAACACACCAUCUGAAACACCACAGUGUUACGUCAAGGGCUUGAAUAGACACCUGCAGCACCAUCUCCUUCUCCAGGCUGCUGUGCUGAAUGAUGCAGGUGUAGUCGUGUUUGUUCAGCUCCUCAGGUGAGACAGUCAGAACGCUCCUCUUCUGGAAGGUUCCGUCCUGGUUGGGUAGCGUCUCUCUGAGCUCCACGUCCUCAUGCAGAUCCUCUCCAUUCUUCUGCCAGGAGAUCAUCACUGCUUUGGGGAAGAAACCUGUAGCAUGACACACCACUGGAGAAGAAGAGUCCUUCUGGAACAGAGACGCCUCAGGAGAGACUGGAGA